AAUGUUUAUUUCAAAUAAACAGGGAGGUUAUUAAAGAUAAAAUAAGCACAAGUAGCUAAACAAAAGUUAUUUUUAUGAAGAGCAAUAACGUAUUUUAUAUACAGCACUUGAAAGUGUUAUCUUGUGUUAAUUUUCAUCUAAAUUGUCUCCACAAUACAAAAAUACAUAUAAUAAAUCUUCAGCGUAAAAAAUGAUAUUUGCAACAUUAAAAUGUUAUGCCUACAUUUGUCAUAAUUAACAAACGUCAGGGGCACUCUUACAGAGCCCUGUGGCACCCCGUUGCUAAUUGUUAGCAUUGCUCUCCGUUACUGCUGAUGGCUAAAAGCCCUGCACCUCCAAUUAUCACAUUUUGAUCAAAAUUGUGUUGUGUACAAAACAAUUUUCUUGUGAUUCCUAAAAAGACAACAUCAUAGAGAUGUAUUAUAAUUUUUUUAACCUACUGACAGCUAUAUCUAAUGAACGGACGUUUAAUGCAAAAUAUUAAUCUGAAAAAAAUUACCAGAGCUGUCAAAUAAAUGUAGAAGUACAGUGAAGGAAAUGUAAAAAUGAAAAUGUACAGUACAUGCCUCCAAACACACACACAACUUAGAUCACUUUCCACUUCUGACCGUAGGAGCAACAAUCUCUUGAACUUGUGUCGCUCAUUUAUCCACCUUAACAUAUUCCUCCGACAGGCGAGUGUGUGUGUGUGUGUGUGUGUGUGUGUGUGUGUGUGUGUUUAAGGGUUUGAGUUGUUGAGUUCAAGACCGUUCAGCCAUUUCAAACACGCUAAUUGAAGAACAUUCUGUUACAGCCUGUUUUGCGGUUUCUGUCCCUCCCUCCUGCAGAUCUCUAUCUCGCUUGUUUUUUACCCCUGUCUUUGUGUGUGUGUGUGUGUGUGUGUGUGUGUGAGGACCAGGUUAAAGCAAUGAUUGUGCGGAUAUUUUUGGAACGUACAAAAGGCCCAUCGAAGGUUCAAGACCAGUGUACACGUGUGAAGACGAAGACCCAAACCUGCGCACUCACAUGGGGCAACCAGCAACAUGCAGGUGGGGAGUCAGGAAAACCGGCGUCUUAGACCGAGCAGCUUCCUCUUGUAGGAAACUCAAAUACAGUUUCUGCUGCAGAACAACUCACGUUGCACCGAAACCCCUUUUUAAAUACUUGGGACUUAUUGUUUUGUGUCGGAGGCUGAUGCCGCGUUGUGUAACCGGUUUGGUUAUGGGAAAAACAAGACGCUGUAUUUGACGUUGACUCCACACAAUGUUCCCGACAGGUUGACCAGCGGUAUCACACACACACACACACACACACACACACACACACACACACACACACACACACUUCCCACACGUUGCGUAACAUCCAACCUGCCACUUCAGGUGAAAUGGUUGUUACAGGUGAAAUAUUAACUUUAAUAAAUGUAUUAUUUCCCAGUUACACUCCAACUCAACUGCAGAGGAGGUUUUUCCGCCUUUUUAUUCUGUGUUGGAUUUUUUUGAUUUGAUCUAACUUGAUUUAUUAAACUCACUAACUCCUACUUGCUUUGCAUCUACAUCUGGACCCUGUUCCAACCUUCCCCCCAGUUUGGACAGCACAGUGAAAAGUCAGUGGCGUUCAUCCGUCCGUCAAGGCCCAACGCUCCUAGUCAUAGAUAUCAGUCCACUAAAAGGGCCUGAUAUUUUUCCAUCAAGAUCCAUGAAUCGUUCCCUGGUGACAAUGUCAAAAUAAAACAAAAAACAUUCUGUCUCACGUUGUUGAAGAAAGAGUUUAAAAAUGCCUGGUUUCCUUCUUGGCCCGCGUUCCGUCCUUCCAGCAGGUUUUGUUGCGUAAUCCUGCCGAAGCAAACCGACAAAUCCCCGAGCAAAGGACGGACGUGAAGAGGUAAAGAUACAACCGCGUUUCCAGAUUCCUUGUUCCAACAAGUCCCUCCGGGACGCCAGCACGUCUCGAGACAAAUUGUCCGACAAACCGAUCCAGGGACAGUUUGUUUAGCUUCUCGUCCGGUCCCGAGACACCGAGCCGCUCCGACAGGGAACCGACCCCCGGACGCAGCUCCGAUAAACAAACAAAGCAGUUUCCCAUGUUGGAAUCAGAGGCCGUAGAGGAUUUCAGAAAGAGGUUUAUCAUCUUAAUUUACUGUGUUUCUACGUGACUGACAUGAAACACAAUGACCGGCGUCUCGGAAAGAAGCUGAAAGUGAAGCUGAGGGCGUUCAUUCUCCCCAGAGGAUGAACCCCGGGGACCCUGUUGGUCCGUGAAGAUCAACAGCAGGUGGCGCCGACAGUGAAGAAGACGUGAUGGUGACGAGGCGCGACGUCGGCUUCGUGUCCUCGUUACCUCCGUCAAGCACGCCACGUUUCCACCCGUGACUGUUUCCUGGUUUCUCUGUUUGUUGCUUUCUUCGUUAGCAGGAUUACGCAAAAACUACUUUACCCAUUUCCAGGACGGGGUUUGGGAAGAACCUUUAGAACAUGAUAAGAACGAGCUCGUUCAUUGGGUCUGGCUGGCGCACGCGUCUUGUCCCGUCUCCUGGUGUUUGGCGGCGAUGGCGGACGGUCGACGUGUUGGGGUCAGCAGGGUUAGGGUUGGGUGAAGUGAACGUCCAUCCAUCGUCUACCGCUUUGUCCAUUGAAGGGUCGCGGGGGGCUGGAGCCAAUCACAGCCGACAUUGGGCGAGAGGCGGGGUUCAGGUCGC